CCUACGGGGGGCAGUAGUGGGGGAUAUUGCACAAUGGGGGAAACCCUGAUGCAGCGACGCCGCGUGUGGGAAGACGGUCCUCUGGAUUGUAAACCACUGUCCCCAGGGACGAAGAUGACGGUACCGGGGGAGGAAGCGCCGGCUCACUACGAGCCAGCCGCCGCGGUAAUACGUAGGGAGCGAGCGUUGCCCGGAAUUACUGGGUGUAAAGGGAGCGUAGGCGGGUCUGCAAGUUGGGUGUCAAAUCUACCGGCUCAACCGGUAGCCGCACUCAAAACUGCAGUUCUUGAGUGAAGUAGGGGCAGGCGGAAUUCCUGGUGUAGCGGUGAAAUGCGUAGAUAUUAGGAGGAACACCAGUGGCGAAGGCGGCCUGCUGGGCUUUUACUGACGCUGAGGCUCGAAAGUGUGGGGAGCAAACAGGAUUAGAUACCCUUGUAGUC
rnacentral:rRNA from 1 species